rnacentral:rRNA from 1 species
UGGGAAGUAUUGCGUCAAUGGGCAGGAAAGCCAUGACGCAGCGACGCCGCGUGAGGGAUGAAGGCCUUCGGGUUGUAAACCUCUUUCAGCAGGGACGAAGCGCAAGUGACGGUACCUGCAGAAGAAGCACCGGCCAACUACGUGCCAGCAGCCGCGGUAAUACGUAGGGUGCAAGCGUUGUCCGGAAUUAUUGGGCGUAAAGAGCUCGUAGGCGGUCUGUCGCGUCGGCUGUGAAAACUCGGGCUCAACUCCGAGCCUGCAGUCGAUACGGGCAGACUAGAGUGCGGUAGGGAGACUGGAAUUCCUGGUGUAGCGGUGAAAUGCGCAGAUAUCAGGAGGAACACCGGUGGCGAAGGCGGGUCUCUGGGCCGUAACUGACGCUGAGGAGCGAAAGCGUGGGGAGCAAACA